AUUGAACGCUGGCGGCAUGCUUUACACAUGCAAGUCGGACGCGUGGCGAACGGGUGAGUAAUAUAUUGGAACGUACCUAGUAAUGGGGGAUAACCAAUCGAAAGAUUGGCUAAUACCGCAUAAUAUUCGAGCGGCCGAUAUCGGAUUAGCUAGUUGGUGGGGUAAAGGCCUACCAAGGCGACUAUCAGUAGCGGGUCUGAGAGGAUGAUCCGCAACACUGGGCCUGAGACACGGCCCAGAAUCCUACGUGAGGCAGCAGUGGGGAAAUUUGGACAAUGGGGGCAAGCCUGAUCCAGCCAUCCCGCGUGUAGGAAGAAGGCCUUCGGGUUGUAAAGUACUUUUGUUAGGGAAGCGGUAUCUAAAGAAUAAGCACCGGCUAACUACGUGCCAGCAGCCGCGGUAAUUC
rnacentral:rRNA from 1 species